GACGAGGGCCCCGAGCGUUAUCCGGAUUUAUUGGGCGUAAAGAGCGCGUAGGUGGUCUUGUGCGUCUUGUUCUAAAUCUAUGGGCUCAACCCAUAGCCUGGGCGAGAUACGACAAGACUAGAGGGUGUGAGAGGUGAGUGGAACUCAUGGUGUAGGGGUGAAAUCCGUUGAUAUCAUGGGGAACACCGAAGGCGAAGGCAACUCACUGGCACAUUCCUGACACUCAGUGCGCGAAAGCGUGGGGAUCAAAAAGG
rnacentral:rRNA from 1 species